rnacentral:misc_RNA from 1 species
GCGAUUAUGAGCCGUUUCCGACGAUCAAACCUGUCUUUGCGUUGUAGCACAUGCCUAAGAGAUCCAUUAACCAUGAACUCGGUUACGGUAGCUAGUGUAGCACCGGGUCCAUCUUGUACGACCCCAUAGAAAGCAACCACAUUUGGAUGGUGAAGUUGUGAUAGAAUCUCGGCUUCACGCCAAAAUUCGUUUGUCAAUCUCUCCUGCUCAGACGAUCGGCCUGUAAAACAGCUCUUUUUGAUUCGCUUGAUAGCCACAUCAGUGCCCCU